ACCGAUAGGCUUACGUGACGGAGGACAUUAAUGAAUUUUGAAAUGGGUUGUAGCUGGCUCUAAUCGGGCAUGUGCACACCCUAUUCAUCCAUUUCUAUACACCUGUGCACCCUUGUAGGAUUUUGGUUGUACGGGAAGGCUGUCAAAGGCUUUCCUAGACCGGUCCUAUGUUUUUAUUAUAAACCCUUGAAUGUCUUUGAAUGUCUUUGCAUUAAUAAUGCAUUUUAAUACAACUUUCAGCAACGGAUCUCUUGGCUCUCGCAUCGAUGAAGAACGCAGCGAAAUGCGAUAAGUAAUGUGAAUUGCAGAAUUCAGUGAAUCAUCGAAUCUUUGAACGCACCUUGCGCUCCUUGGUAUUCCGAGGAGCAUGCCUGUUUGAGUGUCAUGGAAUUAUCAAAUCUUCACUUUAAUUUAUUUUAGAGGGUUGGUUUGGAUUUGGAGGUUUUAUUGCUGGCCGUAUUUUUGUGUGGUCGGCUCCUCUUGAAUGCAUUAGCUUGAGCCUUUAACGGGUCGGCUUAUCGGUGUGAUAAUAAAAUUACUACGCCGUUGUCGGGUUUCGUGAGUCGAGCUUCCAAUCGUCCUUUUGGGACAAAUAACAUUUGACUUCUGACCUCAAAUCAGGUAGGAUUACCCGCUGAACUUAAGCAUAUCAAUAAGCGGAAGAA
rnacentral:rRNA from 1 species